rnacentral:rRNA from 1 species
AACGAACGCUGGCGGCAGGCUUAACACAUGCAAGUCGAACGCACCUUUCGGGGUGAGUGGCCGACGGGUGAGUAACGCGUGGGAAUCUACCCUUCUCUACGGGCUAGCUCCGGGAAACUGGAAUUAAUACCGUAUACGUCCUGAGGGCGAAAGAUUUAUCGGGGAAGGAUGAGCGCGCGUUGGAUUAGCUAGUUGGUGGGGUAAAGGCCUACCACGGCGACGAUCCAUAGCUGGUCUAAGAGGAUGAUCAGCCACAUUGGGACUGAGACACGGCCCAAACUCCUACGGGAGGCAGCAGUGGGUAAUAGUGGACAAUGGGCGCAAGCCUGAUCCAGUCAUGCCGGGUGAGUGAUGAAGGCCCUAGGGUUGUAAAGUGCUUGCAGUGGGGACGAUAAUGACGGUACCCAAAGAAGAAGCCACGGCUAACUUCGUG